AACGGCCGUACCAUGCUGAAUAUACCGGUUCUCGUUAGAUCACCGAAGUUAAGCAUCAUUGGGCGCGGUCAGUACUUGUACCACCUGGGAACACUGCGUGCUGUUG